rnacentral:misc_RNA from 1 species
CCACACCUAAAAAACUUCCAUGUGAACCGUUCUACUUGUUUUGUGCGCGAAUGCGAAAGCUGACGCGCUGAACGAAGGUUAGUGUUGGCGAAAGCUGGCAUUGACUGAUGAACUUUUAAACCCCUUCAUUCCUAAUUACUGAUAAAUACUCUAGGAACGAAAGUUCUUAGUUUUAAUUAGACAA